AUUGAACGCUGGCGGCGUGCUUAACACAUGCAAGUCGAGCGGUAACGCGGGGGCAACCCUGCGACGAGCGGCGAACGGGUGCGUAAUACAUGGGAAUCUGCCCUGUAGUGGGGAAUAACCCGGCGAAAGCCGGGCUAAUGCCGCAUACGAUCUACGGAUGAAAGCGGGGGACCUUCGGGCCUCGCGCUAUUGGAUGAGCCCAUGUCGGAUUAGCUAGUUGGUGAGGAACGGCUCACCAAGGCGACGAUCCGUAGCUGGUCUGAGAGGACGGCCAGCCACACUGGGACUGAGACACGGCCCCAGACUCCUACGGGAGGCAGCAGUGGGGAAUAUUGGACAAUGGGGGAAACCCGUGAUCCAGCGACGCCGCGUGUGUGAAGAAGGCC
rnacentral:rRNA from 1 species